GCUUAAGGUAGGUAUGAAAGAGACACAUCACAAAAACAACAGAGUAAUAUUCAAAGCUUUUCUGUCCUUGCUGCUGUCAAGUGCCAUCCACCCGCACAGCAACAUUAUGGUGACAGAGCACCGCAUUUCUCUCUGAAGCAAAAAAAAAGAAGCAGGAUAAUAGUUUGGGUAUUGGUGUUCUCCUUUUUUAUUUGGAGGGAGGAAGAUAUGGGACCUUAACAAAUCAACAUCUCUCUAGAGGACUCCAGGAAGCCAAAAAUAACCCUCUCAUGCCCAAAAUGUUUUAUUUCAAGGACAUUUUCUACACCUUUUCUGAUUGAUAAGCUUUUUAUUUAGAGCAGACAAUAACAUCGAAAGAUGCAAAAAGGACUUUAAACAAAUUGACUGGGCAUUUUUUGCUAUUAAAUACAACAAAUGUGAAAAUUUAAGGUGACCCUAACUAACUAAUAACGGUAAUGGCU